rfam:Pseudomonas sp. VI4.1 NODE_82_length_27010_cov_30.808, whole genome shotgun sequence.
CGCAUAUUUUGCUCAGGCGGAGCUCGACCGCCGCUUCAAGCCAUGAAGAUGUUCAUCGACGAACACCGUGCGGUUUAUGGAGUCGAGCCGAUCUGCCGGGUGCUGCCGAUCGCUCCA